rnacentral:rRNA from 1 species
AUUCAGGAAAAGGAUUUUAGUCCACCUUUAAGUUUUAUCACUACUACUAAAUACCAAAUAAACUUAAAAGCCAUUCAAAUAAGGUACAGCCUAUUUGAAUAAGGAAACAGCCUGCAAUACAGGGUAAUGAUUUUUUACACGUGACUAAGUCGGCCUAAAAGCAGCCAACUUCUAAAUGGCGUCCAAGCCUCAUCACACCUAUCAUUAAUUUCCCCAUUUAUACGCAACCCUCAAUCACUACUGAAUGACUCCAUACCUUAUGGAGGACACCAUGCUAGAACUAGUAACAAGAAGAUGACCCUUCUCCAAAAUGCAAACGUAAGCCAAAAUGAACACUCACCGGCACUUACCGCCACCUAAGCCCACAGUAUUAACUAACAAGAAAACUUUACCGCACCAGGCGUUAACCUUACACCAGGGCAUUUCCGUGAAAGAUUAAAAAGGGGGGAAGGAACUCGGCAAAUAUUAGCCCCGCCUGUUUACCAAAAACAUCGCCUCUUGGCAAAAUAUAAGAGGUCCAGCCUGCCCAGUGACAGAAGUUAAACGGCCGCGGUAUCCUAACCGUGCAAAGGUAGCACAAUCACUUGUUCUUUAAAUUAGGACCAGUAUGAAUGGCCACACGAGGGCUAUACUGUCUCCCCCCCUUAAUCAGUGAAACUGAUCUCCCCGUGAAGAAGCGGGGAUACAACUAUAAGACGAGAAGACCCCAUGGAACUUAAAACUUGUACCACUGCCUCACUCAUACCAAUACACCAAGGCAAGCAAUGACUACUAGUCUUUCGGCUGGGGCGGCCACGGAGAAAAACUAAACCUCCGCGAUGAAGGGGGCACCCCUAAUCAAAGAGCAACCGCUCUAAUAAUCAACAAAUUGACAUUAUUGACCCAACACCUUGAUCAACGAACCAAGUUACCCUGGGGAUAACAGCGCAAUCCAUUUCAAGAGACCCCAUCGACAAAUGGGCUUACGACCUCGAUGUUGGAUCAGGGUAUCCUAGUGGUGCAGCCGCUACUAACGGUUCGUUUGUUCAACGAUUUAAAACCCU